rnacentral:tRNA from 1 species
AUAACAUGCCUGAAAAUAAGGGUUAUUCUGAUGGAGUAGAAAAUAUAGUUGAAUGCUAUUGUUAUUA